rnacentral:rRNA from 1 species
AGCGUUGCUCGGAAUCACUGGGCGUAAAGCGCACGUAGGCGGAUUGUUAAGUCAGGGGUGAAAUCCUGGAGCUCAACUCCAGAACUGCCUUUGAUACUGGCGAUCUCGAGUCCGGGAGAGGUGAGUGGAACUGCGAGUGUAGAGGUGAAAUUCGUAGAUAUUCGCAAGAACACCAGUGGCGAAGGCGGCUCACUGGCCCGGUACUGACGCUGAGGUGCGAAAGCGUGGGGAGCAAACAGG